AUUGAACGCUGGCGGCAGGCCUAACACAUGCGAGUCGAGCGGAUGAAGGGAGCUUGCUCCUGGAUUCAGCGGCGGACGGGUGAGUAAUGCCUAGGAAUCUGCCUGGUAGUGGGGGAUAACGUCCGGAAACGGGCGCUAAUACCGCAUACGUCCUGAGGGAGAAAGGGGGGGAUCUUCGGACCUCACGCUAUCAGAUGAGCCUAGGUCGGAUUAGCUAGUUGGUGGGGUAAAGGCCUACCAAGGCGACGAUCCGUAACUGGUCUGAGAGGAUGAUCAGUCACACUGGAACUGAGACACGGUCCAGACUCCUACGGGAGGCAGCAGUGGGGAAUAUUGGACAAUGGGCGAAAGCCUGAUCCAGCCAUGCCGCGUGUGUGAAGAAGGUCUUCGGAUUGUAAAGCACUUUAAGUUGGGAGGAAGGGCAGUAAGUUAAUACCUUGCUGUUUUGACGUUACCAACAGAAUAAGCACCGGCUAACUUCGUG
rnacentral:rRNA from 1 species